AGAGUUUGAUCCUGGCUCAGGAUGAACGCUGGCGGCGUGCAUAACACAUUCAAGUCGAACGGACUUUGUCGGAUUAAUUCUUCGGAAAGCGUGCGAUAAAGUUAGUGGCGGACGGGUGAGUAACGCGUGAGCAACCUGCCUUUGAUAGGGGGAUAACAGAGGGAAACUUCUGCUAAUACCGCAUGAUGCAUGGGGAUCGCAUGGAACCCAUGCCAAAGGAGCAAUCCGAUCAAAGAUGGGCUCGCGUCCGAUUAGAUAGUUGGUGGGGUAACGGCCCACCAAGUCGACGAUCGGUAGCCGGACUGAGAGGUUGAACGGCCACAUUGGAACUGAGAGACGGUCCAGACUCCUACGGGAGGCAGCAGUGGGGAAUAUUGGGCAAUGGGCGAAAGCCUGACCCAGCAACGCCGCGUGAAGGAAGAAGGUCUUCGGAUUGUAAACUUUUGUCUUAUGGGACGAUAAUGACGGUACCAUAGGAGGAAGCCACGACUAACUACGUGCCAGCAGCCGCGGUAAUACGUAGGUGGCGAGCGUUAUCCGGAAUUAUUGGGUGUAAAGGGUGCGUAGGCGGGUCGUAAAGUCAGAUGUGAAAUGCGGAGGCUCAACCUCCGAACUGCAUUUGAAACUUACGAUCUUGAGUGGAGUAGAGGCAAGCGGAAUUCCCGGUGUAGCGGUGAAAUGCAUAGAUAUCGGGAGGAACACCAGUGGCGAAGGCGGCUUGCUGGGCUUUUACUGACGCUGAGGCACGAAAGUGUGGGGAGCAAACAGGAUUAGAUACCCUGGUAGUCCACACCGUAAACGAUGAUUACUAGGUGUAGGCCGGCUGAACCGGUCUGUGCCGCAGUUAACACAAUAAGUAAUCCACCUGGGGAGUACGGCCGCAAGGUUGAAACUCAAAGGAAUUGACGGGGGCCCGCACAAGCAGUGGAGUAUGUGGUUUAAUUCGACGCAACGCGAAGAACCUUACCAAGUCUUGACAUCCCUUGACGAUGCUGGAAACAGUAUUUCUCUUCGGAGCAAGGAGACAGGUGGUGCAUGGUUGUCGUCAGCUCGUGUCGUGAGAUGUUGGGUUAAGUCCCGCAACGAGCGCAACCCUUAUCUUCAGUUACUAACGCGUGAAGGUGAGGACUCUGAAGAGACUGCCGGGGACAACUCGGAGGAAGGUGGGGACGACGUCAAAUCAUCAUGCCCCUUAUGACCUGGGCUACACACGUGCUACAAUGGCCACGACAGAGAGAAGCGAAAUCGCAAGGUAGAGCGGAACUCAAAAAAGUGGUCCCAGUUCGGAUUGUGGGCUGCAACCCGCCCACAUGAAGUCGGAGUUGCUAGUAAUCGCGGAUCAGCAUGCCGCGGUGAAUACGUUCCCGGGCCUUGUACACACCGCCCGUCACACCAUGGGAGUCGGUAACACCCGAAGCCCGUAGCCUAACAGCAAUGAGGGCGCGGUCGAAGGUGGGAUUGAUGACUGGGGUGAAGUCGUAACAAGGUAGCCGUUCGAGAACGAGCGGCUG
rnacentral:rRNA from 1 species